rnacentral:rRNA from 1 species
AGCGAACGCUGGCGGCAGGCCUAACGCAUGCAAGUCGAACGGGGGUAGCAAUACCCUAGUGGCGGACGGGUGAGGAAUACGUAGGAAUUUGCCCUUAAGUGGGGGAUAGCCCGGGGAAACCCGGAUUAAUACCGCAUGACCUCGUGAGAGCAAAGCAGGGGAUCGCAAGACCUUGCGCUUUUGGAGAAGCCUACGUCGGAUUAGCUAGUUGGUAGGGUAAUGGCCUACCAAGGCAACGAUCCGUAACUGGUCUGAGAGGAUGAUCAGUCACACCGGAACUGAGACGCGGUCCAGACUCCUACGGGAGGCAGCAGUGGGGAAUAUUGGACAAUGGGCGCAAGCCUGAUCCAGCCAUGCCGCGUGUGUGAAGAAGGCCUUCGGGUUGUAAAGCACUUUUGUCCGGAAAGAAAUCCUUUUGAUUAAUACUCGGAAGGGAUGACGGUACCGGAAGAAUAAGCACCGGCUAACUUCGUGCCAGCCGCCGCAGUAAGAC